rnacentral:rRNA from 1 species
AGGAUGAACGCUGGCGGCGUGCUUAACACAUGCAAGUCGAACGAUGAAGCCGGAGCUUGCUCUGGUGGAUUAGUGGCGAACGGGUGAGUAACACGUGAGUAACCUGCCCUUGACUCUGGGAUAAGCACUGGAAACGGUGUCUAAUACCGGAUACGAACUUCGACGGCAUCGUCAGGAGUUGGAAAGAAUUUCGGUCAAGGAUGGACUCGCGGCCUAUCAGCUAGUUGGUGAGGUAACGGCCCACCAAGGCGACGACGGGUAGCCGGCCUGAGAGGGUGACCGGCCACACUGGGACUGAGACACGGCCCAGACUCCUACGGGAGGCAGCAGUGGGGAAUAUUGGACAAUGGGCGAAAGCCUGAUCCAGCAAUGCCGCGUGAGUGAUGAAGGCCUUAAGGUGUAAAGCUCUUUUACCCGAGAUGAUAAUGACAGUAUCGGAGAAUAAGCCCCGGACUAAACUCCGUGCCCAGCAGCCGC